CCUUGCACUUUAUUUUUUCACACAAUAUGAAAGAGAACAACAAUUCUCUAAAAAUGAGUCACAUAUGAUUUAAUUGAAGUUUACUAUCCCAUCAUCUGCUUUGAGAGAUCAUUCAAUGCACAACAGUUUCUCAGAAUGCCAUGCCCAUCACAAACUCAAAAUAACAGCUAUAUCCAAGCAAGCAUUCAUCACAAAAUCAAAAUCUUAGUCCAGAAAUACAUUCAUUUAUAUUGGCCAAGACAAAAUUCCUAAUAUUUUAUAAUAGCAUUUGAAAUAGCCUUCAUCCAUUCUAAACCACUUUAAAGCAUGGUAGACGAGGCACCUAUCACUCCAUGUUAACAGCUUUAUUCUGUCAUCACAGGCUUAUUCUCGCUUGCUUUGGGUUUUUGUUCCUUUGGCUUCUGUUCCUCCAUUUU
rnacentral:misc_RNA from 1 species